GCAAACUUGGUCAUUUAGAGGAAGUAAAAGUCGUAACAAGGUUUCCGUAGGUGAACCUGCGGAAGGAUCAUUAACGAAUGGAACAAGGCCCGCCUCGGCUGAUGCUGGCUCCUCGGAGCACGUGCACGCCUUUGGGGGGGGGUGCACCUUCAAUUCGCUUCACCCUCCUUGUGCACUCCAUGUAGGUCGUCAAAGGCGGUCUUACUCCGCCUCGACGCCUACGAUUUUUCGUCUUUGUACGCACCUUGAUUGCAUGUACGAGUGUGGCUUUUGCUAUGUGAUAACACAAAAUACAACUUUCAACAACGGAUCUCUUGGCUCUCGCAUCGAUGAAGAACGCAGC
rnacentral:misc_RNA from 1 species